rnacentral:rRNA from 1 species
UACGAAGGUGGCAAGCGUUACUCGGAUUUACUAGGCGUAAAGGGCAGGUAGGUGGUUUGAUAAGUCUGCUGUGUAAGCUCCCGGCUUAACUGGGGAGAGGUCAGCGGAAACUGUCGAGGCUUGAGUAUGGGAGAGGGUACUGGAAUUCCUGGUGUAGCGGUGAAAUGCGCAGAUAUCAGGAGGAACACCAAUGGCGAAAGCAGGUACCUGGACCAUUACUGACACUCAACUGACGAAAGCUAGGGGAGCAAACAGG